UCUAGUAUGCUAAAAAUGUUUACUUCUAACAGAGUAAAAAUACAUAAGUUACAAAAUAUAUACAGGAUGAGUCACGAUGAUUCUGUAUACAGCAGCACGUAAAGUUGAGGUCUGUGUUGAGGCUCACAUUUGGAAAUAAAAAGUAAGAGAAGUGAAAACUAAGUGCAGACAAACACAAGAUUGACAGAAUGAUCAAAUAGUUCAUCUACAGAUUGUGUGUCUAUUUCACUGGGGAUCCAAGGGGCAAGAAACACAGCGAACUGGUUUUAUGGGUCUAUGUAUGCCGUGUGGGUCUAUGUAUGUCUGUAUGAGUCUAUGUAUGUCGUGUGGGUCUAUGUAUGUCUUUGUGGGUCUAUCUAUGUCCGUGUGGGUCUAUGUAUGUCUGCGGGGUCUGUAUAUGUCUGUAUGAGUCUAUGUAUGUCUGCGUGGAUCUAGGUAUGUCGGCGUGGGUCUCUAUAUGUCUGUAUGGGUCUCUGUAUGUCUGUGUCCACGACACUAUCAACUAAACGACCCGUCAUGCUGCUAGACCAUGUUAGUUUUAGUGUCUGACACAGGAAUAAAGAGAUCUAGGGAUUGAAAACAAAUCUUAAUUCUUGUGGAACUCCUUACAAAUAGCCCCCCCCCCCC